CAUCCAUCAGGCUCCUCCUCUCCUUUAUUCUAGUCUCCUCCAUCAAUCUCCUACUCUCCUCUCUUCUAGUCUCCUCCAUCAGGCUCCUCCUCUCCUUUAUUCUAGUCUCCUCCAUCAGUCUUCUCCUCUCCUUUAUUCUAGUCUCCUACAUCAGUCUCCUCCUCUCCUUUAUUCUAGUCUCCUCCAUCAGGCUCCUCCUCUCCUUUAUUCUAGUCUCCUACAUCAGUCUCCUCCUCUCCUUUAUUCAAGUGUCCUCCAUCAGUCUCAUCCUCUCCUCUCUUCUAGUCUCCUCCAUCAGUAUCCUCCUCUCCUCUCUUCUAGUCUCCUCCAUCAGUAUCCUCCUCUCCUCUCUUCUAGUCUCCUCCAUCAAUCUCCUCCUCUGCUCUCUUCUAUUCUCCUCCAUCAGGCUCCUUCUCUUCUGUCUUCUAGUCUCCUCCAUCAGGCUCCUCCAUUCUUCUAGUCUCCUUCAUCAUACUCCUCCUCUCCUUUAUUCUAGUCUCCUACAUCACUCUCCUCCUCUCCUUUAUUCUAGUCUCCUCCAUCAGUCUCCUCC
ensembl:lncRNA